GGAGUUGUAGCUCAGUGAUAGAGUGCUUGUCUUGCAUGUGUGAGGCACUGGGUUCAAUUCUCAGCACCACCA
rfam:Ictidomys tridecemlineatus contig069791, whole genome shotgun sequence.